AUUGAACGCUGGCGGCAUGCUUUACACAUGCAAGUCGAACGGUAACAGGCCGCAAGGUGCUGACGAGUGGCGAACGGGUGAGUAAUGCAUCGGAACGUGCCCAGUCGUGGGGGAUAACGCAGCGAAAGCUGCGCUAAUACCGCAUACGAUCUAUGGAUGAAAGCGGGGGACCGUAAGGCCUCGCGCGAUUGGAGCGGCCGAUGUCAGAUUAGGUAGUUGGUGGGGUAAAGGCUCACCAAGCCGACGAUCUGUAGCUGGUCUGAGAGGACGACCAGCCACACUGGGACUGAGACACGGCCCAGACUCCUACGGGAGGCAGCAGUGGGGAAUUUUGGACAAUGGGCGCAAGCCUGAUUCAGCAAUGCCGCGUGCAGGAAGAAGGCCUUCGGGUUGUAAACUGCUUUUGUACGGAACGAAGAGGCUCUGGUUAAUACCUGGGGCUCAUGACGGUACCGUAAGAAUAAGCACCGGCUAACUACGUGCCAGCCGCCGCCGUAAUAC
rnacentral:rRNA from 1 species